AGCAUCGUCUGUUGUCUGGGUGAUUGCACAGACUCCUAUAUGGCCUUCCUGGCAUCUAGAGAUCCUUAUUAAAAUGUAUGUCAGAUGAUGUUACUUCUCUGAGUCAGAACGUCAGCUAGAUGACUAAAUUUUGUUCCCUUUUAAUAGACUGCUCUGAUACUAGUAUUUCAUACCCUGCUUGGAACUGGUGAUAUAACCCCCCUUCAUGAAAUUCCCCAUCACUAUGUUUCUCUUACCUGUUGGAACAGCUGCCACUUUUAUCUUGCCCACUUGGCUUACCUGCAGGCUGAGACUGAUUCCUGGCCACUAAGGUUGCCAGACUGGACUUUGGUUCCAGUAUUUUGUGUGUAUAGCUGUAUCUGCUUUCUUCCUUUUAUCCUGCUUCACUCAGCCAUGCUUGCAAUUAUUGACUUCUUUCUUAAAAGCAGGAGGCUGAUGCCUACAGACUACAUUCCCUGGAUGCCCCUUCUGGAAUGCUGGACGUUUGAGGAGCGAGGAAGGAGAGAGAGAGAAUCCAACCUGAUAUCUUUGCUUGUAACUGAAUCUCCAAAGGACUGUAGCUCCUGCAGGGUGAUCUCUCUCCAAGAUCAAGCUCUCAGUGUGCUCUGUGUUUCUCCUCUUGUCCCUUCAAGCCCAGGAGUGGGUAACUGAUUGUUGUUGCUAGUUUCUUGAUGCCUCUAAAUCAUUUAUAUGUUUCCUUAACUCUCCCUUAACUUUGUAAUGAUUUUUUGUAUUAAAUUCUCUUUAUUUAAACCAUCUAAUUCAAUUUGAAUAUUGCCUAAUACAAAUAAAUCUCAAGCAGAUUAAAAUUUUUAUUUUCUAUAUUUAAUGACAUAAAGAAGGGACUUUCUCAGCAAUAUUUAGUGACAGGUCAUAACCAUCAUUCUUGCAUUAAUUCUUAAUUAAAUCUGAGUUCCUUAUGCAUCUGUGUAAAUAUAGAAUCUGCUCUCAGAAACUCAAUUGCACGCUUACUAAGCAUUACUUACUUACUCACUCAGGAUCUUUUGUUUCAGCCCAGGUAGCUUAGUUCAUUUUAUCCUUUCUCUUUUUUAUGUAUUUUUUGGUUUUAAGAUUCUAUUUUUGGUUCACUUUUGGGCCAGAUAUUUCCCCCAUUUUUUCCUGUCACCAAUAGCAGCUCUUUCUCAAAUGGACUGGAGAAAUACAUUCUGUAUUAUAUAUCUAUAUACAUCAUUAGAUUACUCCUUGUUAAUCUACAAGGUUUUGUGGUUAUUAUUUUAUUAGGUUUUCAUUUUUAUUUAUUUGCAUAUAAACGCUUUAGAAUUUUCCACACAAGAUCUGUGGACCCCAAAGAGGCUGAAUAUUACUUCUGAUAAUGUUAUGUUUGUGUUUUAAUUUUUGAACAUUUUGUAUUUUUAUGUUUGCACAGGCACAUUCCAGAUCAUUUGAAUAAGCCAGUUAUAGCCAGGCACUGCCACAGAUUUCAGCACUUACUUCAUUGUUGCAUGAGUACAAUAACCCUAAGGACAUAAUUCCUAAUUUUAUGUUUGUGUGUAAUAAAAUAACAUCAUAGAAACAUUUAAUCAAUGUUGAAGGUCCAUGAGAAAUGGCAUUUUCAAUGUUCUGUACAAUUUUAAGUGUCUUGGGAAGGAUAAUGCCCUCAAAGUUUCUAGUUAAUAUCCAAUAAGGCUCUGCAUAAUAAAUAAAUGAAGUAUUGAACAUGUACACAAGUGAAUGACGUGUUUUUAUAUUGCUUUUUAG
rnacentral:lncRNA from 10 species